ACGGGGACUAGAUCGCCUCUUAGUUUGGCCCCGAUUGGGAAGUUUAGCCUCUCUGGUCUCUUUGAUUCGUGGAAGCGUUGGAUCCUUGGAGUGUGUUCGGGGACAGUUGCUUUUCCCCAGCUGUUUGGCUUUGGUUUUGGUUCUCUGUGUGAUUUCCAGGGAAGCUCGGGGCAAUGUUUCUCCUUCUACAGCAGGAAACAGAAGUUGUAGCUGAAACUUGCCUCGGGGUUUGGUAGAUCAUCCAGCAAAUCCACUGCUGUAUUUUGGUCCUUUCCUCUGGACUUUGUGUCGAACUGGUGUCAGACUAUCUGUCUUUCCUUUUUGAAUGCAUAUUGUAGAGCACAUUUUACAUGCCCGCUGAGUUUCCCUUUGUGACUCACACUACAGACGAGAUGGCUUUGAACCUAUUGGAAAUGACUAGUGCUGGAUCUGGAACAAGCAAACAGACACUCAUGAGAUUUUUAUGACGGCGGGGCAUCGGGCAUGACAGCACGGCUGUUGAAUCAACGAGUGCGACUGAUUGACAGCGAACGGGAAGAGCAUCCCGUCUCCUGCUGUCACUGUGUAUCAAUCACUGUCUGCUGUGAAGUUCAUCCCUUUUCAGGUAGUAAGUAUUGGCUCAAAGAGUACAUGAACCAACAAAAAGCCCCUUCUCCCCAGUAGCCCCUCACUGCAGAACACAAGAUCCAGGGGGCGUGGUUGGAUCCACAUCUAGGGGCUUGAGAUUGGUAAGUUUAGGGGUGGAGAUGGGUGGGUUUAGGAAUCAGGGGGUGGAGACGGGUAGGUUUAAGUAUAUGUAAGGUGGGAGGAGUUGGAUCUGGAUCCAACCACUCCCCCUGGAUCUUGUGUUCUGCAGUGAGGACCAUCUCCUUCUCCCCCUUCUGGAGAAGAACACACAAAUGAUCACAAUGAACUAUAAAUCUGGAAAAUCAAAUCAGAAUAAAUAGAUGCAGUUCUCUCUAUUCCAACGACAAAAAAACAAACACUCAAAAUGAUUGACAGCUUGAGAGCGUUUCUGAUUGGUCAACAAUCAAAAACACUCAACUUGUAAUUCCAUAAGAAAGCACUUAUGGCACUUUCAAGGAACAGAUAAAUGAAAAUAGGACAUAAUGACAAAAUUUUGAUUUGGGGUGAAUUAUUGUUUAAAGGACAUUUUUGAGUCUGAAGGACUUUUUAAAUUCUUUCCAUGGACUAUAAAUCUGAAAUAUCAAAGCGAGCAGCCUUUAAGUCCAUUAAUCUUGAUUAAAAAGACAAUAAAUAAAGGCUCCUCGUCAAGCGAAUUAUGUGCCUCUAAACAAGUUAAACCAGAGGACCGGAAGAGAAGAGGCUUAGAGUUGGUUGGAAACCGUCUUUGUUGAUUAGUGAUGUCACGUCCUGCUAUCAAAGAGUUCACAGGAACCAGAAGCACUUCCUGCGGCUCUUCUUGACCGUCUGGAGGGCCUGUGGAGAGUCCUGCUGGCGCGGAGGAGGAAAGACCAGCUGAGGAGAGCUCUGCUCUGACUCCUGCUGCUCCGGGACCUUCCACGCUCGCGUCACCUGACCCUCCUGAAGCCGGAAGUCAUGCUCCACACUGAAAGAGAGAGAUGCUUACAGCUAUUACUGAGGCAAAAAA
ensembl:lncRNA